rnacentral:lncRNA from 7 species
ACAAAAAGAUGUGUUUAUUUAACAAAGAAUAGUGUUCCUGAGGACUGUAUUCCAAGGGCUCUAAAAGUGAGAGCUGUGCUUGGCAGCAUGCUUGCUACUUUCUGUAACUCGGACCACGGUGCAACCUCUCCACCUCCCUAUGCCUUAACACAUUUGUUGCUAGAUAGCAUUUAAUUUAAUUUUUACAUCCCUCUAGUGUUCAAGAGGCAACAGAGGAGAAGCUGGUGAACGUUUGGGUGGCAGACAGCUUACAGAUUUGGAGAGGAAACUCAGACCUUGAAAACUAGAGAAAGCAGACCUUUGCUUUCUCUUUGCUCUUUGCUUUGCUCUUUGCUGUGCUUCUGAUACGGAGCAAGGACACUUCAUGUGAAUAAAGCAAGGUCAGAAGAAAAAUCUGGGAUGGGCCACUUGGAAUUCACUCAGGCAGGCUUCUGUGUGAAGAAGGCUUAUGGAGCUGCUCUUGUUGUUGUCAGUUACCCUUAAGUUUAGAUUAAGAAUGAUGUUCAGUUAUUUUCUUUGACAGAUGCUAACGAUGCAAAUGAAAAUGAAGAUGCUAACAAGUUAUCGUGCUGCCUUUAAGUUCGUGGAUUAUAACUUCUUUUUGACAUAGAAAACUAAAAAAACACGUCAAACACGCUUUUCCAACACAAAUAAUAGCUAUUUUGGAAGUGACAUUUGCUGUCCUGCUCUCAUUUUGAAAUAUGCAUUUACAGUGUGCUGUCUGGUGACCAGCCACCAGCGUUGUUUGCACGCCGUCUGUAUUUACAGCCAUCACCUACUCAAAACAAAUUCACAUUCAUCUCAACUUCACAUACACUUCUUUCUCCAUAAUAUGCACCCAGGUGUAAGGAUGAUGUCUUCCAAAUCUGCCCUGUUCCUGAACAGGGCAGUUACUUAGGUAUGAUGACUUGAAUUCAUAGAACAAGACUCCGGAGGAAAGAAAGAAAGGAAAGAAUAAAACCCGACUGGCUAGAGAUGUUCACCAGGCCUCACUGAACAGAGACGGCUGUAGUCAUUGCUAUUCCUGCGUGCUUUUCCUUCAAAUUUGAUCAGCCAAACAGCACUACAGACAGCAGUCAAAGCGGAGUUGUUCUUAAAUGCUGCAGAUUGUACAUACGCCCAUACAGCCGGCAGUUCUUAGACGUGGAUGUGAAGUCCUGGUGCAGCUUGGCUGGAAUGCCUCCUUUUGGACCAGGUGGUUCAGAAACAACCCAUCAGGUGGCAACUGAUUUUCUUUUUGCAAGUCCAUAUAGUACCUGUAAUGUUUGCCUUUAAGAGCAGUGACCUAUAAUUUAUACGGCGACCAGAGUAUUUACAUAUACAGUAUUUCUUGGUGUUAGUUGUGGGACCACAGGAGAAACACUAGAGCGGAGUCAAACAUGAAAGCAUUUCAAAUGCCUGUUUGCCUUCUUAAAGUGUGUCAUUCUCUGAAAACGGCAGCAGGCUCUAACAGUCUUGUCUGGUAGAAGCUGCUCUUCACUGCCACUCCUGACAACUCCACCAACCCUUCUCCUUCCACCUCUUGUCACUUUUUGGCCAUUUCAAAUGCUGACCCUCAAAGCUAGCAGUUCCCUGUGUAGUUUUGUCUGGAGACAAGAAAGAAAUGUUCUCGUAUCUUAACAGCUUGGCAUUUUUUCUAAUGAGUCUCCUGGGCUUAUCAGACAAUCACUUUUUUUCCCAGCCGUAUCUGAUGCUGCCUUACUAUGAGACCUUUAUAACCCCAAAUCAUACAAAAUAAAUCAUUAUACCAUCAAUAUC